rnacentral:rRNA from 1 species
UACGUAGGGCGCAAGCGUUGUCCGGAAUUAUUGGGCGUAAAGAGCUCGUAGGCGGCUUGUCACGUCGGGUGUGAAAGCCCGGGGCUUAACCCCCGGGUCUGCAUUCGAUACGGGCUAGCUAGAGUGUGGUAGGGGAGAUCGGAAUUCCUGGUGUAGCGGUGAAAUGCGCAGAUAUCAGGAGGAACACCGGUGGCGAAGGCGGGUCUCUGGGCCGAUACUGACGCUGAGGAGCGAAAGCGUGGGGAGCAAACAGG